rnacentral:rRNA from 1 species
GACGAACGCUGGCGGCGUGCCUAAUACAUGCAAGUUGAGCGAUGAAGAUUGGUGCUUGCACCAAUUUGAAGAGCAGCGAGCGGGUGAGUAACGCGUGGGGAAUCUGCCUUUGAGCGGGGGACAACAUUUGGAAACGAAUGCUAAUACCGCAUAACAACUUUAAACAUAAGUUUUAAGUUUGAAAGAUGCAAUUGCAUCACUCAAAGAUGAUCCCGCGUUGUAUUAGCUAGUUGGUGAGGUAAAGGCUCACCAAGGCGAUGAUACAUAGCCGACCUGAGAGGGUGAUCGGCCACAUUGGGACUGAGACACGGCCCAAACUCCUACGGGAGGCAGCAGUAGGGAAUCUUCGGCAAUGGACGAAAGUCUGACCGUGCAACGCCGCGUGAGUGAAGAAGGUUUUCGGAUCGUAAAACUCUGUUGGUAGAGAAGAACGUUGGUGAGAGUGGAAAGCUCAUCAAGUGACGGUAACUACCCAGAAAGGGACGGCUAACUACGUG